rnacentral:lncRNA from 1 species
AGAAAACGCAUUUCUUCUCUCUCUCGUCUCAUCAUCAGAAGCCCUUUCGUCUCUCUGUCCCGGUCUUAAACCUAGAAAAAUUGCCGAUGAAAUGUGCUGCCAGCUCCGGUGAAGGAAGAUCCAUUCCGAUGAAGUGCAACCAUUUCGGCUAAUAUAAGGAAUCUCAGAUAUAGGUAUUUGGUAUUUUUUCCAUGUUUGAUAUUUUCUGUGGUUGUUCGAUAUUCACUAUUGUUUCACCGGAAAAUUAUUUCGCUGCUUCUUUUGUUUUCUCUUUUUUUUCUUGUAAGAUUUUUGAUAAACCCGUUAAUUUACUAUGUCCUUUGUAUUAGAUGAUAAAUUUUGUGGUUUCUAGUUUGUGAAGUUGGGAUUUUCGUUGGUGGAUUUUGAUAGAUGAAGGUGUUGUUGACAAUAGAUCAAUUUCAUAUUUAAAUCUUUUAAAAGAUAAUUAUUCGGGAAAUUAAACCAUUGUUAAAACAAUUAGUUCAUAAAGUAAGUUGAUUCAGGUUUAAUAUGGACUUUUUAUCAUAUUUGAUAAUUUGUUUUUGUAACAACUAGUAUAUCAAGAUAUGAUUCGGAAAUUAGAUCAUUGUUAAAAGAAGAUAUAGAUUUUUGCUCUUUCUUAUUAUAUUUUUUUAUUUUGUUUAUGCUUUGGCACUUGCAGAUUGAGACAUCUCUUCUAAUCUCAUAAAUAUUCAUGUUGGGGGCUUUAUUCUCGAUCCUAAUGAUUGACUCACUUAUGUUUUAUGAAAAUAUGUGUAUUGGUAAGUGUUGAUCUUUUUUAGAAUCUAUGUUGAGUUAUAGAUGG